UUAGUGGCGGACGGGUGAGUAACGCGUGAGGAACCUGCCUUGGAGUGGGGAAUAACAGUCCGAAAGGACUGCUAAUACCGCAUAAUGCAGUUGGGCCGCAUGGCUCUGACUGCCAAAGAUUUAUCGCUCUGAGAUGGCCUCGCGUCCGAUUAGCUAGUAGGCGGGGUAACGGCCCACCUAGGCGACGAUCAGUAGCCGGACUGAGAGGUUGACCGGCCACAUUGGGACUGAGACACGGCCCAGACUCCUACGGGAGGCAGCAGUGGGGAAUAUUGGGCAAUGGGCGCAAGCCUGACCCAGCAACGCCGCGUGAAGGAAGAAGGCCCUCGGGUUGUAAACUUCUUUUGACAGGGACGAAGAAAAUGACGGUACCUGUCGAAUAAGCCACGGCUAACUACGUGCCAGCAGCCGCGGUAAUACGUAGGUGGCAAGCGUUAUCCGGAUUUACUGGGUGUAAAGGGCGUGUAGGCGGGCUGGCAAGUCAGAUGUGAAAACCAUGGGCUCAACCCAUGGCCUGCAUUUGAAACUGUUGGUCUUGAGUGCUGGAGAGGCAAUCG
rnacentral:rRNA from 1 species